rnacentral:tRNA from 1 species
GCCAGCGUAGCUCAGCGGCAGAGCAACUCCAUGGUAAGGAGUAGGUCGUGGGUUCAAUUCCCACCGCUGGCU